AUUGAACGCUGGCGGCAGGCCUAACACAUGCAAGUCGAGCGGAUGAAGGGAGCUUGCUCCUGGAUUCAGCGGCGGACGGGUGAGUAAUGCCUAGGAAUCUGCCUGGUAGUGGGGGAUAACGUCCGGAAACGGGCGCUAAUACCGCAUACGUCCUGAGGGAGAAAGUGGGGGAUCUUCGGACCUCACGCUAUCAGAUGAGCCUAGGUCGGAUUAGCUAGUUGGUGGGGUAAAGGCCUACCAAGGCGACGAUCCGUAACUGGUCUGAGAGGAUGAUCAGUCACACUGGAACUGAGACACGGUCCAGACUCCUACGGGAGGCAGCAGUGGGGAAUAUUGGGCAAUGGGCGAAAGCCUGAUCCAGCCAUGCCGCGUGUGUGAUGAAGGUCUUCGGAUUGUAAAGCACUGUAAGUUGGGAGGAAGGGCAGUGAGUUAAUACCUUGCUGUUUUGACGUUACCAACAGAAUAAGCACCGGCUAACUUCGUG
rnacentral:rRNA from 1 species